rnacentral:rRNA from 1 species
AUGGGACCUGCGGUGCAUUAGCUAGUUGGUAGGGUAACGGGUCGUACCAAGGACGAUGAUGCAUAGCCGAGUUGAGAGACUGAUCGGCCACAUUGGGACUGAGACACGGCCCAAACUCCUACGGGAGGCGAGCAGUAGGGAAUCUUCCACAAUGGACGCAAGUCUGAUGGAGCAACGCCGCGUGAGUGAAGAAGGGUUUCGGCUCGUAAAGCUCUGUUGUUGGUGAAGAAGGACAGGGGUAGUAACUGACCUUUGUUUGACGGUAAUCAAUUAGAAAGUCACGGCUAACUACGUGCCAGCAGCCGCGGUAAU